GAUCGACGGACCUCGCGACGGAUCGUUGUUGUCACGACGGGCCGUCAUGGACUCCGUUGUCCCAUACUUAUGCAAUUUCUUCUGCAGCUCUCUUCAUUAUCCUCGACAGCAGGUAUGACAGAUCGUCACUGGCACAACGGUCCGUCAAGGGUCUCUGUUUCAUACCACUUGAACUCUUGGAAUUUGGGUACUGGACUACUUCUCUGAUCUUCAUGACGAACAAGCAGGACGGACCGUCAUGGCUAAGACGGUCUAUCACUCACUCUGUAACCCCACACUUGGUCAGACUUCCCCAUCUUCCUUCGACAGCUGCACUACGAUGCCACCUAUGGACCGUCACGGGCAUGAUGAACCGUUACAAGCUCUGUAGGAGGUACUUUUCUGCAUUUCGUGCUCAAAACCUCCAUUCAUCUUUUAGACAGAUUUCCUACAAAUAAAGAGAAACUUACACAAAAGUUAAUACAAAAAGGCUUUUGGUCACACUAGACUUAAGGAAAUAGCAUUAAAAAUACCGUGAAACCACAGUAUAUCAACAGGCAUUCAUGAAAAGAUUUAAGUUUUGUUCUUUAUCGACAUGAUAUUCUAUGGUUAUUACUGCUAGUCAAAGUUUUUUGAUGUUUUUUCCAUUGUUUAUGUGUGUUUCUUUAUAUUUCGGUCAUUUGUGUGAACUUACAUAAAAUUAUACUAUUUUUAUGAAGUAACGAAAAGAAGUGAAGUUUUGUUUUGUUAUUUAACACAAUGUUCUAAGGUCAUUAGGGCAAGUCAAUAUUUUUCGAGUCACUUUUCAAAAUAUUUAUGUGUUUCUUGAUAUUUCUUCUAGUUUGGGGUUUACGUAAUAUUCACCCAUUUUAGGGAAGUUACUAAAAGAAUUAAAAUUUUAUUUUUUUAUUCAUCACGAUAUUCAAGGUUAUUGGUGCAUUGUCGAAAAAUGUUGAGGCGUUUUUUGUUAUUUUUUGUGUUCUUUGAUGCUUCGGUCAUUUUUGUGCAUUUAUGAAAAUAAUUAUAGAUUUAUUCUGUUAUUCAUCACGAUAUUCUAAGGUUAGUGGUGCAAUUCAAAUUUUUUUGAGAUGUUUUUUGUAUUUGAUGUGUGUUCUUUUUUUGGGGGGGCUAUUUUUCAGCAGUUACAAAAAAAUAAAGUUUUGUUAUGUUAUUCUUCAUGAUAUUAUAAAGUCAUGGUGCAAGUUAAAAACAAAUUCGAGGCAUUUAUGUAUUGUUUAUGAGUGUUUCUUGAAUUUCUGUCAAUCUGGACGCAUUUACGUAAUAUUUAGUCAUUUUUGGGUAGUUACAAAAUGAAGUACAAUUUUAUUCUUUUGUUCAUCAUCAUAUUUUUAGGUGAUAGGUGCAGGUCAAAAAAAUUUAAGGCCUUUUCUGUAUUGUAAAUGUGUUUUUAUAUUUUUCAACCUUUUUUCCAUUUACGUAAUAUUCCGUCUUUUUUGGACAGUUAUGAAAAGGAUUAAGUUUUUUUCUUUUAUUCAUCACGAAAUUCUCAGGUCAUUGGUGCAAGUCUAAAUUAUUUUGAGUCAUUUUUUAUAAUGCUUAUCUCUAUUUCUUAAUUUUCUGCCAUUUUGGGCAUUUACCUAAUAUUCGGCUUUUUUUUGGUAGUAACGAAAGAAGUAAAAUUUUGUUUACUUAUAAUAUUCUAAGGUAAUUUGAGCAAGUCAAAACAUUUUUGUGGUGUUUUUUGAAAAAUAUUUUUAGUGUGUUUCAUGAUUUUCAACUAUUUUGUUGCAUUUACAUAACAUUCUAUUGUUUUCAGACAGUUACGAAAAGAAGUAAAAUUUAUCGUUUUAUUCGUCAAGAUACUAUAAUGUCAUUGGUGUAAGUUAAAAUUUUUUGAUGCAUCUUUUUUAUUCUUUAUGAGUGUUUCUUAAUUUUUUGCCAUUUUGGAGCGUCAUGAAAUAUUCAGCCAUUUUUGGACUAUUACAAAAAAUAUUUCUAUUUUAUGGCGUUAUUCGUCACAAUAUUGAAGGUCAUUGGUGCAAGUUAAAAACAUUUCGAGGCGCUUUAUGUAUCUAUUAUGUGUGUUUCUUGAUUUUUCGUUUAUUAUGGGGCGUUGGCAUCAUAUUCUGUAAUUUUCGGGAAGUUAUGAAAAAAAGUAAAGUUUUAUUCUAUUGUUCCUCAUGAUAUUCAGAGGUCAUUGGUACAAGUCAUAAUUUUUUUUGAGGUAUUUUUGCAUUGUUUAUGUGUAUUUCUUGAUAAUUUGACAAUUUUGAGCGUUUACGUAAUAUUCGCUCAUUUUGGGGCAAUUAUAAAAAGUAGUAAACUUUUGUUCCAUUAUUCGUCACGAUAUUCUAAAGUGAUCGUGCAAGUCAAAAAAAUUGAGGUGUUUUUUGUAUUGUUAAUGUGUGUUUCUUGAAUUAUCGAUUAUUUUUGUGUUUUUACGCAAUGUUCGUCCAUUAUCAGGUAGUUAUGAAAAAAGUGAAGUUUCAUUUUAUUCAUCACGCUAUUGUUAACUCAUAACUGCAAGUCAAUUUUUUUUGAGGAGCUUUUGUAUUGUUUAUGUAUGUUUCUUGAUUAUUCGACCAUUUAGGGUGUUUACAUAAUAUUUGGAAAUUUUCAUGCAUUUACAAAAAGAAGUAACAUUUUUUCUGUCAUUCGUCAUGAUAUUCCAAGGUGAAUGGUAUAAGUUGAAAUUUUAUUGACACAUUUUUAUAUGUUUCUAAUUUUUUGGUACUUUGGUACAUUUACGUAAUAUUCAGCAAAUUUGAGUAGUUACUAGUAGAGUUUUAGUUAUUUAUGACAAUAUUCUAAGGUAAUCGGUGCAAGUCAAUAUUAUUUUGAGGCGUUUUUGUAUUGCUUAUGUGUGUUUCUUUAUUUUUCGAUCAUUUUUUGUCAUGUACGUAAUAUUCGGCCAUUUUGUUGUAUUAUUCUUCACGAUAUUGUAUGGUCAUUGGUGCAAGACGAAAAUUUUUGAAGCGUUUUUUGUAUUGUUUAUGUGCGUUUCUUGUUUUUUCAACCAUUUUGGGUAAUUUUAGAAAGAAGUUAAGUUUUUUUUCUAUUAUUCGUCACGAUAUUCUCAGGUCAAUUGUGCAAGUCAAAAUUUUAUUGAGUCGGUUUUUGUAUUGUUUAUGUGUGUUUCUUUAUUUUUCGACCAUCUUGGGGGCAUUUACGUAAUAUUCGGCUAUUUCUAAUUAGUUAUGGAAAGAAGUAAUUUUUUUAUUUAUUUUUCACAAAAUUCUAAGGUCAUGGUACAAGUCAAAAAAAUUCUUUAGUAGUUCUUUGUAUUGUUUAUGUCUGCUUCUUGAUAUUUUAGCCAUUUGGGGAGUUUACGUAAUAUUCAACCAUUUUCAGGAAACUUACAAAAAGAAGUAAAUUUUUAUUAUUGUACACAAUAUCCUAAGGUCACUAUGGAUGGUCAAAACUUUUUGAUCCCCUUUUUGUAUUGUUUAUGUGUUUCUUGAUUUUUAAGCUAGUUUGGGGUGUUUCUUUAAUAUUUGUCCUUUUUAGGCACUUACGAAAAUAAUUAAAGUGUUGUGUUGAUAUUGUCACAAUGUUCAAGGUUAUUAGUGCAAGUCGAUUUUUUGCGGCGUUUUUUAUUAUUUAUGUGAGUUUCUUGAUUUUUUGUCCAAUUCAGUGAAUUUAUGUCGUAUUCGGCCUUUUCUGCGCAGUUACAAAAGGUAGUAAAGAUUUGUUCAGUUGUUUGUUACCAUAUUCUAAGGUUGUUGGUGUAAUUAAAAAUUAUUUAAAAUGUUUUGUAUUAUUUGUGUUUUUGUUUAUCUUUUGGCCAUUUUGGGGUAUUUACGAAAUAUUCAGCCCUUUUCAAACAAUUACAAAAAGUAGUACAAGUUGGUGAUGUUAUUUGUCAUGAUAUUCUAUGUUCACUGGCGCAAGUCAAAAAAUUUUAGGCAUAUUUUGUAUUAUUUAUAUGUGUUUCUUGAUUUUUCGGCCAUUUUAGGGUGUUUACAUAAUAUUUUGACAUUUUCGGGCAGUUACGAAGAGAAGUAACGUUUUAUUUUGUUGUUCAUAAUUAUAUUGUAGGUCGUUGGUGCAAGAAAAUUUUUUAUGAGUCGAUUUUUUGUAUUUUUAGAAAUAUUUUAUAUUAUUUAUGUGUAUUUAUUGAUUAUCCCAUCAUUUUGGGUGGUUACGUAAUAUUCGGUAAUUUUUGGACAAUUAUAAAAAAGUAAUGUUUUUCAUAUGUUAUUCAUCACAAUAUUCUAAGGUGAUUUUCAAGUUGAUUUUUAGGCAUUUUUUAAUGUUUAUGUUUGUUUCUUAUUUUUUCGCCUUUUUGUGUGUUUACAUAAUAUUCGUUAUUUUUGGGUAGUCACAAAAUGAAGUAAAGUUUUAUUUUGUUUUUUAUCAUGAUAUUCUAAGGUUAUAGGUGCAACUCAAUAAAAUUUUGAGACAUUUUUUGUAUUAGUUGUGUGUUUCUCGAUAUGUCGACUAUUUUUGGCCAUAUACGUAAUAUUCGUGCACUUUUUGAUAGUUAUGAAUAGAAGUAAAGUUUUGUUGUAUUAUUCGUCACGAUAUUCUAAGGUUAUUAAUGCAAGUCAAAAAUUUUAGAGGCAUUUUUUGUAUUGUUUAUAUGUGUUGAUUUACCAACCAUUUUUUAGCAUUUACGUGAUAUUUGACCAUUUUCAGACAAUUAUGAAAUGAAAUAAAGUUUUUUUCAUUUAUUCAUUACGAUAUUCGAAGUUCAAUUCUACAAGUCAAAUAUUUUUGAGGCUUUUUUGUAUUGUUUGUAAGUGUUUCUUGAUUUUUCGGCUAUUUUGGACAUUUUUGUAAUAUUCGAUCAUAUUCAGGAGUUGCGAAAAGAAUUAAGUUUUGUUGUUCAAUAUGUCAUGAUAUUCUAAGGUCAUUGGUGCAAGUCAAUGUUUUUAGUAGUAUCUGUAUUAUUUAUAUGUGUUUCUCAAUUUUAGGCGAUACUGAGGCAUAUACGUAAUAUUUUGCAAUUUUCAAGCAGUAACGAAAAGAAGUAAGGUUUUGUUAUGUUAUUCCACACGAUAUUUUAAGGUUAUUAGGGAAAGACAAAAAAAACAUUGAGACAUUUUUUUGUAUUGUUUGUGAGUUUGUUGAUUAUUCAGCCAGUUUGGGGCGUUUACGUAAUAUUCUCCCAAUUUCAGGUAGUUACGAAAAGAAUUCAAGUGUUUUCGUUAUUCCUCAUGGUAUUCUAGAUUAUUGGUGCAAGUGGAAUUUUUAAGGAGUAUUUUGUAUUUUUUUUAUGUGCUUUAUUGAUUUUGGCCUUUUUCGGGUAGUUACAGAAAGAAGAAAAGAUUUGUUCAGUUAUUCGUCAUGAUAUUCUAAGGUCAGUGAUGCUACUCGAAAUUGUUUUGAGGUGUUUUUGGUGUUGUUUGUGUAUUUCUUGAUUUUUUUGAUCAUUUUGGGCAUUUACAUAAUUUCGGCCAUUAACGGAAAGUUACGAGAAAAAAAGUAAAGUUUUGAUUCUUUAUUCUUCAUGAUAUUCCGAGAUCAUUGAUUCAAGUCAUAAUAUAUUGAGAUUUUUUUUGAUUUUUUACGUGUGUUUAUUGAUAUUUUAGAUAUGUUGGAGCAUUUACGUAAUAUUCGACCACCUUAUGACAGUUACAAAAAUAAGUAAAGUAUUGUUGUGUUAUUCAUCAUGAAAGUUUUAGGUCAUUGGUCCAAGUCAAAACAAUUUGAGGUUUCUUUUGGUAUUAUUUGUGUCUUUCUUCAUUUUUCUGUCAUUUUAGGGCGUUAACAUAAUAUUCAACCAUUUUCGUGCAUUUACGAAUGGAAGUAAAGUUUCGUAUGAUUAUUCGUCAUGAUAUUCUAAGGUCAUUGGUGCAAGUAAAAUUUCUAUUAAGGCGAUUUUUGUAUUGUUUAUAUGUGUUUCUUGAUUUUUCCAUCAUAUAGGGACAUUUAAGUAAUAUUUUGCCAUUUCAGGCAAUUACAAAAAAGUAAUGUUUUUUUCUAAUAUUCAUCACGAUAUUCUAAGGUCAAUGAUGCAAGUGGAAAUUUUCAGGCGUUUUGUAUUCUAAUAUGUUUCUUGAUUUUUUUCGUUUAUUUUGGGGCAUUUACGCAAUAUUUGACCAUUUUCGGGAUGUCACAAAAUAAGUAUGUUUUGUUCUUUUGUUCGCCACGAUAUUCUAAGGCAUUGGCGCAAGUAAAUUUUUUUGAGUCGUUCUUUGUAUUUUUUGUGUAUUCUUGAUUUUUUGUCAUUUGGAGCAUUUACAUAAUAUUUGACUAUUUUUCAGGCAGUUACGGAAAAAUGUAAACUUUUGUUCUGUAACUCGGCACGAUAUUCCAAGGUCAUAUCAAGAAACAUACAUAAACAAGAAACACAUAUAUGUAGGUAUGAGAAGAAGCAAAGUUUUGUUCUGUCAUUCGUCACGAUAUUCUAAGGUCAUUAGUAUAAGUUAGAUUUUUUGAGGCAAUGUUUGUAUCGUUUAUGUUUGUUUCUUGAUUUUUCGGCCUUUUCGGGGGAAUUAUGAAAAGAAGUAAACUUUUACUCUA